rnacentral:lncRNA from 13 species
GACUGAUUCUCACACACACAAGUUUGAACAGUGCUCGGCAACACUGCAGGACUGUUACCAUGGGUCAGACCCCUGCCCUUCUGGUGUCACACACAAUGCUGAGGGGAGGAUGGGCUCAUAAUCAUGUCUGGAACGGAGCAAAUGGAAUGGUUUAAAACGCAUAGAAACCAUGUGUAAGAUGUAUUUGAUACCAUUCCACUGAUUCCGCUCCAGCCAUUACCACGAGCCCAUCCUCCCCAAUUAGGGAGCCACCAACCUUCUGUGAAACACACUGUCGAAGAUGUACACACACACACACACUAACUCUCUAGCACCAUCCUAUGUUAUGUGAAGGCGCCAGAUGCUGUAGAAGGAAGUGUUGAUCUCACCGCUCAGAGACCUGCGGGCUGACUUCAAGUACAGAGAGAUGAUACAACAACGGAUAUAAACCAGGCUAUGUGGACCCCCUGCAGUCGUUGAGUGAUGUCGUCGCCCAGCUGGAUGCAGUGAUCGGCUUCUCUGUGGCCUCUAUCUCCACCCCAUCCCCUACACCAGGCUGGCUGUGGACUGCAGGGGUCUAGAGCUCCAACAGGCCAUGCCCAACCUGCCUGGAGUCAAGACACAGCCUUCAUAGAGCAGAGCUUAUACAGUGCCUUCAGAAAGAGGAAGGAUUGUUCCAGUCGUUUCAAGAGGGGAAAUCUCUGCCGGCCGCCACCACUACUGACCAGGAGGUAAAGGCGGAGCUUAAAGCCAUUAAGGUGGAGGUUGCCCA